rnacentral:rRNA from 1 species
AUCAGCUUGUUUGGUGGGGUGAUGGCCUACCAAGGCGACGACGGGUAGCCGGCCUGAGAGGGUGUCCGGCCACACUGGGACUGAGAUACGGCCCAGACUCCUACGGGAGGCAGCAGUGGGGAAUAUUGCACAAUGGGCGCAAGCCUGAUGCAGCGACGCCGCGUGGGGGAUGACGGCCUUCGGGUUGUAAACCUCUUUCAAUAGGGACGAAGCGGAAGUGACGGUACCUAUAGAAGAAGCACCGGCCAGCUACGUGCCAGCAGCCGCGGUAAUACGUAGGGUGCGAGCGUUGUCCGGAAUUACUGGGCGUAAAGAGCUCGUAGGUGGUUUGUCGCGUUGUUCGUGAAAACUCACAGCUUAACUGUGGGCGUGCGGGCGAUACGGGCAGACUGGAGUACUGUAGGGGAGACUGGAAUUCCUGGUGUAGCGGUGGAAUGCGCAGAUAUCAGGAGGAACACCGGUGGCGAAGGCGGGUCUCUGGGCAGUAACUGACGCUGAGGAGCGAAAGCGUGGGGAGCGAACAGGAUUAGAUACCCUGGUAGUCCACGCCGUAAACGGUGGGUACUAGGUGUGGGUUUCCUUCCUUAGGGAUCCGUGCCGUAGCUAACGCAUUAAGUACCCCGCUGGGGAGUACGG